UGGGGGUGUCUUGGAUCAUUCCUGAAGUAGGAUCACUGUCUCAGGGAGUGUCUUGAAUCAUUCCUGAGGUGUAAGGAUUGUUACAGGAGAUGUCUUGAAUCAUCAGAGGAAAGACCACUACACCAAGUGGUGUCUUGGAUCAUCCCUGAGGUGUGAACUUUGCACCCGGAAGUGUCUUAUCAUGCCUGAGGUGUGACCCAUGUACCAGGAGGUCUCUUGUAUCAUCCCUGAGAUGGGAUCACACACCAUGAGGUGUCUUGGAUCAAAUCUGAGGUGCAGACGCUGCACAAGGAGGUCUCUUGAAUCAUCCCUGAGGUGGCAGCACUGCACCAGAAGGUGUAUUGGAUCAUCCCUCAGGUGUGAACACUGCACCAGGAAGUGUCUAAAAUCAUGCCUGAGGUGUCAGCACUGCACCAGGAGGUGUUUUUGAUCAUCCCUAAGGUGCAGGCACUGCACCAGGAGGUCUCUUGGAUUAUGCCUGAGGUUUGAGCACUGCAUCAGGAAGUGUCUUUUAUCAUCCCUGAUGUGUAAGCAUUGCACCAGGAGGUGUCUUGCGUCAUUCCUGAGGUGUGUACACUGCACCAGGAGUUGUUCUGCAUUAUUCCUGAGGUCGGAGCACUGCAUCACAAGUGUCUUGGAUCGUGCCUGAUGGUGCCUGACCAGCAAGUGUCUUAACUCAUCCCUGAGGAGGGAGUACUGUAACAGGUGUCUUGGAUCAUCCCUUGGAGUGCAGCACUACACCACCAGGUGCUUUGAAUCAUCUCUGAGGUGUGAGCAGUGCACCAGGAAGUGUCUUGUAUUAUGACUGAGUGUGAAUACUUCACCAGGUAGUUUUUUGGAUAAUUCCUAGGUGUGACCGCUGCACCAGGAGGUAUCUCGGAUCAUGCCAGAGUUGUGAGCACUGCAUCAGGAGAUGUUUUGGAUCAUCCCUGAGGUGUGACCACUGGACCAGGAGGUGUCUUGGAUCAUGCCUGAGUGUGAGCACUGUACCAGGUGGGUUUUUUGUAUCACCCCUAGGUGUGAGUACUGCAUCAGGAAGUACCUUUGAUCAUGUAUGAGUUGUGAUCACUGCACCAGGACAUGUCUUAAAUCAUAUCUGAGUUGUGAUCACUGCACCAAGAGGUGUUUUGGAGCAUCCCUGAGGUGUAAGCACUGCACCAAGAGGUGUCUUGGAUCAUGCCUGAGUUGUGACCACUCCACCAGGAUAUGUUUUGGAACAUACCUGAGGUGUGAGCACUGCACCAGGAGGUGUCUUAGAUUAUGCCUGAGUGUGAGCACCUCACCAGGAUGUACCUUGGAUCAUGCCUGAGUUUUGUGGGCACUGCACCAGGAUGUGUUUUGGAUAAUCCCUGAGGUGUGAGCACUGCACCAGGAAGUGUUUUGUAUUAUGCCUGAGUGUGAACACUGCACCAGGUGGUUUUUUGGAUGAUUCCUAGGUGUGACCACUGCACCAUCAUCAUGCCAGAGUUGUGAGCACUGCAUCAGGAGAUGUUUUGGAUCAUCUCUGAGGUGGGAUCACUGUACCAGGGGUGUCUUGAAUCAUCCCUGAGGGGUGAACACUGUGACAGGAGGUGUCUUGAAUCAUCCCUGAGGUAAGAGCACUGCACCAGGAGGUCUUUGGAUCAUCAUACCUGAGGUGUGAACAUUUCACCCAGAAGUGUCAUAUCAUGUCUGAGGUGUGACCCAUGCACUAGGAGGUGUUUUGUAUCAUGCCUGAGUUGUGACCACUGUACCAGAGGGUGUUUUGGAACAUCCCUGAGGUGUGAGCACUGCACCAGGUGGUGUCUUGGAUCAUCUCUGUAGUGUGAGAAUUACACAAAGAGGUGUUUUUAAUCAUCCCUGGGGUGAGAUCACUACACCAGGAAUUGUGUUGGAUCAUGCCUGAGUGUGAGCACUGCACCAGGAGGUAUUUUGAAUCAUGCCUGAGUUGUGAGCACUGCAUCAUGAGGUGUUUUGGAUCAUCCCUGAGGUGCAAGCACUGCACCAGGGGGUGUCUUGGAUCAUCCCUGAUGUGUGAGCACUGCACCAGGAGAUGUCUUGGAUCAUCCCUGAGGUGUAAGCACUGCACAAAGGACUGUCUUGUAUUAUUCCUGAGUGCAAACGCUGCACCAGGUGUCUUUUUGGCUCAUUCCUAGGUGUGACCACUGCACCAGGAGGUAUCUCAAGUCAUGCCAGAGAUGUGAGCACUGCAUUAGAAGAUGUUUUGGAUCAUCCCUAAGGUGUGAGCACUGGACCAGGAGGUCUCUUGGAUCAUCCCUGAGUUGAGAGCACUGUUCCAAGAGGUGUCUUGGAUCAUGCCUGAGUGUGAGCACUGCACCACGUGGUUUUUUUGGAUCAUCCCUAGGUGUGAGCACUGCACCAGGAGGUAUCUUGGAUCAUGUCUGAGUUGUGAUCACUGCACCAGGAGGUGUCUUAAAUCAUAUCUGAGUUGUGAGCACUGCACCAAGAGGUGUUUUGGAGCAUCCCUGAGGUGUGAGCACUGCAUGAGGUGGUGUCUUGGAUCAUCCCUGUAGUGUGAAAACUGCACAAGGAGGUAUUUUCCAUCAUCCCUAAGGUGGGAGCACUACACCAAGAAGUGUGUUGGAUAAUGCUUGAGAUGUGAGCACUGCACCAGGAGGUGUCUUAGAUCAUGCCUGAGUGUGAGCACCUCACCAGGAUGUACCUUGCAUGAUGCCUGAGUUGUGUGGGCACUGCAUCAGGAUGUGUUUUGGAUCACCCUUGAGGUGUGAGCACUGUACCAGGAAUUGUCUUGGAUCAUCCCUGAGUGUGAGCACUACACCAGGAGGUGUUUGGGGUCAUCCAUAAGGUCUCAGCACCGCACCAGGUUUCUUGUAUUAUGCCUGAGUGUGAGCACUGCACCAGGAGAUAUUUUGAAUCAUGUCUGAGUUGUGAGCACUGCAUCAGGAGGUAUUUUGGAUCAUCCCUGAGGUGUGAGCAUUGCACCAGGAGGUGUCUUGGAUCAUCCCUGAGGUGUGAACAUUGCACCCAGAAGUGUCUUAUGUCAUGCCUGCAGUGUGAGCACUGCACCAGGAUAUCUAGGAUCAUCCCUGAAUUGUGAGCACUAAACCAGGAGGUGUCUUGAUUCAUCCCUGAGGUGUGAGCACCUCACCAGGAGGUAUCUUGGAUCAUCCCUGAGAUGUGAACACCUCACCAGGAAGUGUCUUGGAUCAUGUCUGAGUUGUGAGCACUGCACCAGGACGUGUCUUAAAUCAUCUCUGAGGUUUGAGCACUACACCAGGAGGUGUCUUAAAUCAUGCUGAAAAGUGACCACUGCACCAGGAGGCAUCUUGGAUCAUGUCUCAGUUGCAACAGGAGGUGUCUUGGAUCAUCCCUGUGGUAUAAGCACUGCACCAGAAGGUGUCUUGGAUCAACCCUGGGAUGGAGGCAGUGCACCAGAAGGUGUCUUGGAUCAUCCCUGAUGUGGGAGCACUGCAUCAGGAGAUCUCUUGGAUCAUCGCUGAGGUGUGAGCACUGCACCAGGAGGUAUCUGGAAUGAUUUUUGAGGAGAGUGUAGCGCACCAGGAGGUAUCUUGGAUCUACCCUGAGGUGUGAGCACUGCAACAGGAAGUGUCUUGGAUCAUCCCUGAGGUGUGAGCACUGCAACAGGAUGUGUCCUCAAUCAUCCAUGAAGGGGGAUCACUGCACCAGGAGGUGUCUUGUAUCAUUGCUGAGGUGGAAGCACUGCACAAGGAAGUGUCUUAGAUCAACCUGACUUGUGAGCACUGCACCAGAAGGUGUCUUGGAUCAUUGCUAAGAUGCAAGCAAUGCACCAGCAGAUGUCUCAGAUCGUCCUUUAGGUGGGAGCGCUACACGAGGGGUGUCUUGGAUCAUCCCUGAGGAGGGAGCACUACACCAGGAGGUGUCUUGGAUCAUUUCUGAGGUGCAGGCACUGCAUCAUGAGGUGUCUUGGAUCGUCGCUGAAGUGUAAGCACUGCACCAGGAGGUGUUGUGAAUCAUCGCUGAGGUGUGAGCACUGCACCAGUAGGUGUCUUGGAUCAUCCUUGGGGUGUGAACAUUGCAUCAGGAGAUGUCUCAGAUCAUCCCUGAGGUGCAGGCACUGUACCAGGAGGUAUCUUGAAUCAUUUCUGAGGUGCAGGUGCUGCACCAGGUGUCUUGAAUCAGCCCUGAGGUGUGAGCACUACACCAGGAGGUGUCUUGAUUCAUCCCUGAGGUGUGAGCACUGCACCAGGUGUCUUGAUUCAUCUCUGAGGUGUGAGCACUGCACCAGGAGCUGUCUUGAAUAACUUCUGAGGUGUGACCAUUGUACCAGGAGGUGUCCUGUAUCAUCCCUGUGGAGGGAGCACUGCACCAGAAGGUGUAUUGGAUCAUCCCUGAAGUGUGAACACUACAUCAAAAGGCAUCACGAAUCAUCCCUAAGGCUUGAGCACUGCACCAGGAGGUGUCUUUGAUCAUGCCUGAGAUGUAUGCACUGCACUAGGAGGUGUUUUGGAUCAUCCCUAGGUGGGAGCACUACCCCAAGAGGAGUCUUGGAUCAUCUUUGAGGUGGGAGUACCACACCACGAGGUGUCUUGGAUCAUCCCUGAGGUGGAAGCACUGCACCAGGAGUUGUCUUGGAUCAUUCCUGAGGUGUGAGUACUGCACCAGGAGGUAUCUUGUAUCAUCCCCGAGGUCAGAGCACUACACCAGGAGAUGUUUGGAUCAAACCUGACAUGUAGGCACCGCACCAGAAGGUCUCUUGGAUGAUGCCUGAAUUGUCAGCACUGCACCAGGAAGUGUAUUUUAUCAUCCUUGAGGUCAGAACACUGCACCAGCAAGUGUCUUGGAUUCUGCCUAAGGUGUGAGCACUGCACAAGCAGUUGUCUUGGCUCAUCCCUAAGAAGGGAGUACUGUGCCAGGGGGUGUCUUGGAUUAUGCCUGAGUUGUGAGCACUGUAUCAGGAGGUGUCUUGGAUCAGCCCUGAAUUGUGAGCACUGCACAAGGAGGUGUCUUGGAUCAUCCCUGAGGUGGGAGCACUGCACCAGGAGGUGUCUUCAAUCAUCCCUGAGGUGUGAGCACUGCACCAGGAGAUGUCUUGGAUCAUCCCUGAGGUAGGAUCACUACACCAGGAGGUUUCUUGGAUCAUUUCUGAAGUGUGAGCACUGCACCACAAGGUGUCUUGAAUCAUCCCUGAGGUCACGCUGAUGCAAGAGGUGGGCUCCCAUGGCCUUGGACUGCUUCACCCCUGUGGCUUUGCUUUCACAAGAUGGCAUUGAGUGUCUGAGGCAUUUCCAGGUGCACAGUGCAAGCUGUCAGCGGAUCUACCAUUCUGGGGUCUGAAGGACGGUGGCCCUCCUCUCACAGUUCAACCGGGCAGCACCCCCAUGGGGACUCCCUGUGGGGGCUCCAAUCCCACAUCUCCCUUCUUCAAUGCCCUAGCAGAGGUUCUCCAUGAGGGCUUUGCCCCUACAGCAGACUUCUGCCUGUACAUCCAGGUAUUUCCAUACAUCCUCUGAAAUCUAAGCUGAGGUUCCCAAACCUCAAUUCUUGACUCCUGUACACCCACAGGUCCAAGACCACGUGUAAGCCACCAAGGCUUGGGGCUUGCACCCUCUGAAGCAACAGCCUGAGCUCUAUGUUGGCCCCUUGAGCCACAGCUGGAACUCACUAUCACCAAAUCCCUAUACUACACAAAGCAGCAAGGCCCUAGGCCUAGCCCGUGAAACCCUUUUUUCCUCCUAGGCCUCUGGGCCUGUGAUGGGAGGGACUGCUGUGAAGAACUCUGACAUGCCCUGGAGACAGUUUCCCCAUUGUCUUGGUGAUUAACAUUUGGCUUUUCGUUACUGAUGCAAAUUUAUCUAGCUGGCUUGAAUUUCUUCUCCAAAAAUGGGUUUUUCUUUUCUAUCGCAUCAUCAGGCUGCAAAUUUUCCUAAGUUUUAUGUUCUGGUUCCCUUUUAAACAUAAGUUUUAAUUCCAAACCAUAUAUUUGUGAGUACAUAAAACUGAAUGCUUUUAACAGCACCCAAGUCACCUCUUGAAUGCUUUGCUGCUCAGAAAUUUCUUCUGCCAGAUACCCUAAAUCAUCUCUCUCAAGUUCAAAAUUCCACAGAUCUUUAGGGCAAGGGCAAAAUACUGCCAGUCUCUUUGCUAAAAUGUAGCAAGAGUCACCUUUAUUCCAGUUCCCAAAAAGUUCUUCAUCUCCAUCUGAGACCACCUCAGCCAGGACUUCAUUGUCCACAUCACUAUCAGCAUUUUGGUCAAAACCAUUAAACAAGUCUCUAGGAAGUUCCAACUUUCCUGGAAGACAUCUUCCUGUCUUCUUCUGAGCCCUCCAAACUGUUCCAACCUCUGCCUGUUACCCAGUUCCAAAGUCACUUCCACGUUUUUUAGUAUCUUUAUAGCAGCGCCCCACUACCCAGUAUCAAUUUACUGUUUUAUUCCAUUCUCAUGCUGCUAUGAAGAACUGCCUGAGACUGGGUAAUUUAUAAAGGAAAGAGGUUUAAAUUACUCACAGUUCUGCAGGGCUGGGGACGCCUCAGGAAACUUACAAUCAUGGCAGAAAGCAAAGGGGAAGCGGGCACGUCUUCAUGUGUCUGGAGAAGGAGGAAGAGAGCAAAGAGGGAGGUGCCACACACUUUCAAACAACCAGGUCUCCUGAGAACUCAUUCACCAUCACAAGAAUGCAAGGGGGAAAUCUGCCCCCAUGAUCCAAUCACCUCCAACCAGCCCACUUCCCCAACACUGGGAAUUACAAUUCGACAUGAGAUUUGGUUGGGGACACAGAGCCAAACUAUAUCAGUGCUUAACCUCAUUUGAGUUGUCACACGCAACCAGGAGGCUUGAAUAACCCACUGCUUCCAGACUAGAUGGCUUUCUGUGUGACCCCAAGAGAGACUCCCAGCCUCUGCUGAUUCCUAUGUAAAGUAUGGGUUGGAACUGGAUGGUAUCGUAGGUUCCUUUAGCUCCGUAUGAUUCUCAUGUAAAAUUCCACCCAGCAGUCAGGCAAGAGGUGCACUGGGGAGAGGAGGUGGAACCCCCAGGUUGUUGAUAAAAUCCUGAAAUCCCUUGGCUCUGUGCUUCAAACAGCCACCUUCCCAACAUCUAUGACUCUUUGAACUGCUCAUAAAGAGCGCUGAUUAAUGUGACACUUCACAUGCCCACCAUGAAAUUAGGAAGGCCCUUAGAUCUCCUUCAAACCCGCGGUGCCGGUGCCUUCGCCCCAUCAAUCAGAGAUGAAACUGUGAUUGUGCUGCAAGGAGACGAGGCCAUCCUGGAGUUCUGCCAUGAAAGAAUCGCUGGGACUCAAAGGAGGGGAAAACAAGGGAAGGAGAGAGGGGGAAAGGGAAAGAGAAGCUGCUUCCAGAAGGAAUAAAUUUGUGUGUGUACUUUGAUCCUGCUAUGAUUUUUAUUUGUUUUAGCCACAUCCUUUUCACUGCACCACUCAGCUAAAGGUGCUUUAAAUUAGAUGGCGCUAGGAAACCCUCUUCCUCCCCCCUUCUUCCCCUGCCUGCCACGCAGGCCCACAGUCUUCAGUCAGUGUGAGAUGUAUAAUCAUGUCAUGCUCAAAUGUAACUGGAAUAAAUUGAGACAAAUAAACUCAAAGGCACCACAUGCAUUUAGAAUGCUCUUUGUCAGGGUUUCCUAAUAUGCUUGCAGGCAGCUAACUCAACGCAAACAAAAAGUGGCAGUGUUUACCCAGCUUUGCUUUGGAGCAUGUUGAGAGCCUCUGACUCACAGAUCGCUGCUGAUUGAAUCUGCACAUACAUUGGUGUUCACUGUCCCCCAGCUAACUUCCUUCCCUCUUCCACACUCCUCCCUUUCCCAGGUGUCCAGGCUGAACAGGGACUUGUUUGGGGUCCUCUGUUCCUCUCCUCUACCUGUCUUCAGUAGGAUAGCACAAAGAUCACAAAGGCCUUGAGAGCAGAGAUGGGAAGUGAGAACCGUGUCUCACUGUGAGGACCCCAGGACCUUUGUUCAAACAAAGCAAAGCAGCACCUGGCAUGGCCGGCCCGUUCUGCUCAGCGUUCAGGAGCGAGCUGCCUACCAGAAACCUCCUCUUUGGUGCUCUUGUUAAAAAAGAUGCCUCAGGGCACCUUUAAGGGAAGAUCUGAAAUGAACCUCUUACCUUCUAAAACCUUCUUUCUUGGCCAAUCUUGUUCCAUGACCGGCCACAUGGCUGUGGAUUUACUGGCUCUCUGGACCCUCACCCUCCCAUCAGGGUGCCAUCUUAUCCAUGUCUCUGAUUGAGGGACACACAUGUCAGCUCUCUGCUCCUGCACUGCCAGGCACAGCCAUGAUGGUCUCAGAGCCAUUGGUCCCCAGCACAGAGGGGAGCUUCAAAUGGUACCAUGAUGAUGAAGGUGGUAGGUGCCUAGUAGCUACGGACUUUGGAUUAUAUCCAUUUCCAAUGAUUAACAAGAAGCCCCUUUAAUUUUAAGCAUGUACUUUUUAUUCAGAAAUAAGGUCCCACUCUGGCACCCAGGUGGGAGUGCAGUGGUGCCGUCAUGGCUCAUUGCAGCCUCAACCUCCCAGGCUCAAGCGAUCCUCCCACCCCAGCCUCGCAAGUAGCUGGGACUGCAGGUGCACCAUCAUGCCUGGCUAAUUUUUUAAAUUACUAUUUUAAUAGAGAUGGGGUAUUGCUAUGUUUCCAAGGCUGGUCUCAAACUCCUAACCUCAAGUGAUCCUCCCACCUCAGCCUCCCAAAGUGCUGGGAUUACCGACGUGAACCACUGUUCUGGACCAAGUAUGUACAUUUAUAAAUAACACCCAUUUUCCUGUGAUUUCCUUAGCUUCACUCUAUGAACUGCUAGCUUGUCAUGCCUCCCUGUCAUAUUCUCUGACAGUUUCCAGCCUUAUGCCCCAUGGGUGUCUCUCUCUCUCUCUGUCUCUCUCUGCUUUCUUUAAUUCCUCUUUGGCUGCCAAGAGUUCAUUUUCUCAGCCUGUGACAGCACCCCAUGUUCC
rnacentral:lncRNA from 1 species